CCGGGGAUUGCCUUAGUACGGCGAGUGAAGCGGCAAAAGCUCAAAUUUGAAAUCUGGUACCUUCGGUGCCCGAGUUGUAAUUUGGAGAGGGCAACUUUGGGGCCGUUCCUUGUCUAUGUUCCUUGGAACAGGACGUCAUAGAGGGUGAGAAUCCCGUGUGGCGAGGAGUGCGGUUCUUUGUAAAGUGCCUUCGAAGAGUCGAGUUGUUUGGGAAUGCAGCUCUAAGUGGGUGGUAAAUUCCAUCUAAAGCUAAAUAUUGGCGAGAGACCGAUAGCGAACAAGUACAGUGAUGGAAAGAUGAAAAGAACUUUGAAAAGAGAGUGAAAAAGUACGUGAAAUUGUUGAAAGGGAAGGGCAUUUGAUCAGACAUGGUGUUUUGUGCCCUCUGCUCCUUGUGGGUAGGGGAAUCUCGCAUUUCACUGGGCCAGCAUCAGUUUUGGUGGCAGGAUAAAUCCAUAGGAAUGUAGCUUGCCUCGGUAAGUAUUAUAGCCUGUGGGAAUACUGCCAGCUGGGACUGAGGACUGCGACGUAAGUCAAGGAUGCUGGCAUAAUGGUUAUAUGCCGCCCGUCUUGAACCACGGACCAAA
rnacentral:rRNA from 1 species